rnacentral:rRNA from 1 species
CCAAUAGCGUAUAUUAAAGUUGUUGCAGUUAAAAAGCUCGUAGUUGAAUUUCGGAAUUUUUUUAUCGGUUGAAUCAACAGGUUCUUACUGAUUUUAAGAAUUUCUACCUUCUGGAGAACCUUAAUGUCAUUUAUUUGAUGUUUUGGGAAACCAGGACUGUUACCUUGAAAAAAUUAGAGUGUUUAAAGCAGGCUUAUGUCUGAAUAUAUUAGCAUGGAAUAAUGAAAUAGGACGGCAUGGUUCUAUUUUGUUGGUUUCUAGGAUCACCGUAAUGAUUAAUAGGGAUAGUUGGGGGCAUUAGUAUUCAAUUGUCAGAGGUGAAAUUCUUGGAUUUAUUGAAGACUAACUUCUGCGAAAGCAUUUGCCAAGGAUGUUUUCAUUAAUCAAGAACGAAAGUUAGGGGAUCGAAGACGAUCAGAUACCGUCGUAGUCUUAACCAUAAACUAUGCCGACUAGGAAUCGGACGAAGUUAAUUUUUUAAUGACUCGUUCGGCGCCUUACG